rnacentral:lncRNA from 1 species
AUGGCCACCUCCCCGCCUCCACGUCUUUUGGGGGGCUUUGCAGGGCUCUGCAUGGCCCUGCGGGGUUGCUUUGGGGUUUUGCAUGGCCCUGCAUUCUCUAUGGGAUUCUUUUAGGGUUUUGCAUGGUCCUGCACGGCUCUGUGGGGUUGCUUUGGGGUUUUGCAUGGCCCUGCAUUGCUCUAUGGGAUUCCCUUGGGGUUUUGCACGGUCCUGCAUGCUCUCUGCAUGCGUGUUUUGGGGUUUUGCAUGGCCCUGCAUGCUCUAUGGGAUUCUUUUGGGGUUUUGCAUGGCUCUGCAUGGCUCUGCGGGUUUGCUUUGGGGUUUUGCAUGGUCCUGCAUGCUCUCUGCAUGCUUGCUUUGGGGCUUUGCACAGCUCUGCAGGGUUGCUUUGGGUUUUUGCAUGGCCCUGCAGGGCUCUGUGGGGUUGCUUUGGGGUUUUGCAUGGCCUUGCGUACACACUGCAUGCAUGUUUUGUGGCUUUGCAUGGCCCUGCAGGGCUCUGUGGGAUUCCCUUGGGGUUUUUGCAUGGCUCUGCAUGCUCCAUGCAUGCUUGCUUUGGGGCUUUGCAUGGCUUUGCACGCUCUGUGGGAUUCUCCUGGGGUUUUGCACAGCCCUGCAUUCUCUCUGCAUGCUUGCUUUGGGUUUUUGCAUGGUCCUGCAUGGCUCUGUGGGAAUCCCUUGGGGUUUUUGCAUUGCCCUGCAUGCUCUGUGGGAUUGCUUUAGGGUUUUGCACAGCCCUGCAUGCUCUCUGCAGGCUUGUUUUGGGGUUUUGCAUGGCCCUGCACAGCUCUGCGGGUUUGCUUUGGGGUUUUGCACAGCCCUGCAUGCUCUCUGCAUGUUUGCUUUGGGGUUUUGCAUGGCUUUGCACAGCUCUGCAGGGUUGCUUUGGGGUUUUGCAUGGUCCUGCGUGCACACUGCAUGCAUGUUUUAGGGCUUUGCAUGGUCCUGCAUGGCCCUGUGGGGUUGCUUUGGGGUUUUGCACGGUCCUGCAUGCUCUGUGCAUGCUUGCUUUGGAGCUUUGCAUGGCUUUGCACGCUCUGUGGGAUUCUCCUGGGGUUUUGCAUGGUCCUGUAUGGCUCUGUGGGAUUCCCUUGGGUUUUUUGCAUGGCCCUGCACAGCUCUGUGGGGUUGUUUUGGGGUUUUGCAUGGCCCUGCAGGGCUCUGCACGCUCAGCUCGGGGCUUUGCACGGCUGCACCCUCUGCACGCUUGGGUUGGGCUUUGCUCUCACGUCUCUGCGUGCUCCCUGCGAGCCCAGCUCAGGGCUGUGCCCCGCGGAGCACCCCUGGGUGCUGGCCCUGGGGUUCUGCACGACUGCACCGGGGGCGUUGCACGCUUUGCACGGCUUUGCACGGCUUUGCACGCUUUGUUUCCCUCAUUCAGGGUCUUGCACGCCCCUUUUCGGGUGUCGCACGGCUUUGCACGCCCCCAAGGCUC